rnacentral:rRNA from 1 species
GACGAACCGAGCGAACGUUAUUCGGAAUCACUGGGCUUAAAGGGCGCGUAGGCGGGCGAUCAAGUCAGGGGUGAAAGCCCCCAGCUCAACUGGGGAAGUGCCUCUGAUACUGGCCAUCUCGAGGGAGGUAGGGGCGUGCGGAACUUCCGGUGGAGCGGUGAAAUGCGUAGAUAUCGGAAGGAACACCGAUGGCGAAGGCAGUUCUCUGGGCCGUAACUGACGCUGAGGAGCGAAAGCGUGGGGAGCGAACAGG